GUUAUAUGGUCAAGUGAAGAAGCGCAUACGGUGGAUGCCUUGGCAGUCAGAGGCGAUGAAAGACGUGGUAGCCUGCGAAAAGCUUCGGGGAGUCGGCAAACAGACUUUGAUCCGGAGAUCUCUGAAUGGGGGAACCCACCUAGGAUAACCUAGGUAUCUUGUACUGAAUCCAUAGGUGCAAGAGGCGAACCAGGGGAACUGAAACAUCUAAGUACCCUGAGGAAAAGAAAUCAACCGAGAUUCCCUUAGUAGUGGCGAGCGAACGGGGAUUAGCCCUUAAGCUUCAUUGAUUUUAGCGGAACGCUCUGGAAAGUGCGGCCAUAGUGGGUGAUAGCCCCGUACGCGAAAGGAUCUUUGAAGUGAAAUCGAGUAGGACGGAGCACGAGAAACUUUGUCUGAACAUGGGGGGACCAUCCUCCAAGGCUAAAUACUACUGACUGACCGAUAGUGAACCAGUACCGUGAGGGAAAGGCGAAAAGAACCCCGGAGAGGGGAGUGAAAUAGAACCUGAAACCGUAUGCGUACAAGCAGUGGGAGCCUACUUGUUAGGUGACUGCGUACCUUUUGUAUAAUGGGUCAGCGACUUAUAUUCAGUGGCAAGCUUAACCGUAUAGGGUAGGCGUAGCGAAAGCGAGUCUUAAUAGGGCGUUUAGUCGCUGGGUAUAGACCCGAAACCGGGCGAUCUAUCCAUGAGCAGGUUGAAGGUUAGGUAACACUGACUGGAGGACCGAACCCACUCCCGUUGAAAAGGUAGGGGAUGACUUGUGGAUCGGAGUGAAAGGCUAAUCAAGCUCGGAGAUAGCUGGUUCUCCUCGAAAGCUAUUUAGGUAGCGCCUCAUGUAUCACUCUGGGGGGUAGAGCACUGUUUCGGCUAGGGGGUCAUCCCGACUUACCAAACCGAUGCAAACUCCGAAUACCCAGAAGUGCCGAGCAUGGGAGACACACGGCGGGUGCUAACGUCCGUCGUGAAAAGGGAAACAACCCAGACCGCCAGCUAAGGUCCCAAAGUUGUGGUUAAGUGGUAAACGAUGUGGGAAGGCUUAGACAGCUAGGAGGUUGGCUUAGAAGCAGCCAUCCUUUAAAGAAAGCGUAAUAGCUCACUAGUCGAGUCGGCCUGCGCGGAAGAUGUAACGGGGCUCAAACCACACACCGAAGCUGCGGGUGUCACGUAAGUGACGCGGUAGAGGAGCGUUCUGUAAGCCUGUGAAGGUGAGUUGAGAAGCUUGCUGGAGGUAUCAGAAGUGCGAAUGCUGACAUGAGUAACGACAAUGGGUGUGAAAAACAUCCACGCCGAAAGACCAAGGGUUCCUGCGCAACGUUAAUCGACGCAGGGUUAGUCGGUUCCUAAGGCGAGGCUGAAAAGCGUAGUCGAUGGGAAACAGGUUAAUAUUCCUGUACUUCUGGUUACUGCGAUGGAGGGACGGAGAAGGCUAGGCCAGCUUGGCGUUGGUUGUCCAAGUUUAAGGUGGUAGGCUGAAAUCUUAGGUAAAUCCGGGGUUUCAAGGCCGAGAGCUGAUGACGAGUCGUCUUUUAGAUGACGAAGUGGUUGAUGCCAUGCUUCCAAGAAAAGCUUCUAAGCUUCAGGUAACCAGGAACCGUACCCCAAACCGACACAGGUGGUCGGGUAGAGAAUACCAAGGCGCUUGAGAGAACUCGGGUGAAGGAACUAGGCAAAAUGGCACCGUAACUUCGGGAGAAGGUGCGCCGGCUAGGGUGAAGGAUUUACUCCGUAAGCUCUGGCUGGUCGAAGAUACCAGGCCGCUGCGACUGUUUAUUAAAAACACAGCACUCUGCAAACACGAAAGUGGACGUAUAGGGUGUGACGCCUGCCCGGUGCCGGAAGGUUAAUUGAUGGGGUUAGCGCAAGCGAAGCUCUUGAUCGAAGCCCCGGUAAACGGCGGCCGUAACUAUAACGGUCCUAAGGUAGCGAAAUUCCUUGUCGGGUAAGUUCCGACCUGCACGAAUGGCGUAACGAUGGCGGCGCUGUCUCCACCCGAGACUCAGUGAAAUUGAAAUCGCUGUGAAGAUGCAGUGUAUCCGCGGCUAGACGGAAAGACCCCGUGAACCUUUACUGUAGCUUUGCACUGGACUUUGAGCCUGCUUGUGUAGGAUAGGUGGGAGGCUUUGAAGCGUGGACGCCAGUUCGCGUGGAGCCAUCCUUGAAAUACCACCCUGGCAUGCUUGAGGUUCUAACUCUGGUCCGUAAUCCGGAUCGAGGACAGUGUAUGGUGGGCAGUUUGACUGGGGCGGUCUCCUCCUAAAGAGUAACGGAGGAGUACGAAGGUGCGCUCAGACCGGUCGGAAAUCGGUCGCAGAGUAUAAAGGCAAAAGCGCGCUUGACUGCGAGACAGACACGUCGAGCAGGUACGAAAGUAGGUCUUAGUGAUCCGGUGGUUCUGUAUGGAAGGGCCAUCGCUCAACGGAUAAAAGGUACUCCGGGGAUAACAGGCUGAUACCGCCCAAGAGUUCAUAUCGACGGCGGUGUUUGGCACCUCGAUGUCGGCUCAUCACAUCCUGGGGCUGAAGCCGGUCCCAAGGGUAUGGCUGUUCGCCAUUUAAAGUGGUACGCGAGCUGGGUUUAGAACGUCGUGAGACAGUUCGGUCCCUAUCUGCCGUGGACGUUUGAGAUUUGAGAGGGGCUGCUCCUAGUACGAGAGGACCGGAGUGGACGAACCUCUGGUGUUCCGGUUGUCACGCCAGUGGCAUUGCCGGGUAGCUAUGUUCGGAAAAGAUAACCGCUGAAAGCAUCUAAGCGGGAAACUUGCCUCAAGAUGAGAUCUCACUGGGAACUUGAUUCCCCUGAAGGGCCGUCGAAGACUACGACGUUGAUAGGCUGGGUGUGUAAGCGUUGUGAGGCGUUGAGCUAACCAGUACUAAUUGCCCGUGAGGCUUGACCAUAUAACACCCAAACA
rnacentral:rRNA from 1 species